AGUGAACGCUGGCGGUAGGCCUAACACAUGCAAGUCGAACGGCAGCACAGUAAGAGCUUGCUCUUACGGGUGGCGAGUGGCGGACGAGUGAGGAAUACAUCGGAAUCUACUUUUUCGUGGGGGAUGACGUAGGGAAACUUACGCUAAUACCGCAUACGACCUACGGGUGAAAGCAGGGGAUCUUCGGACCUUGCGCGAUUGAAUGAGCCGAUGUCGGAUUAGCUAGUUGGCGGGGUAAAGGCCCACCAAGGCGACGAUCCGUAGCUGGUCUGAGAGGAUGAUCAGCCACACUGGAACUGAGACACGGUCCAGACUCCUACGGGAGGCAGCAGUGGGGAAUAUUGGACAAUGGGCGCAAGCCUGAUCCAGCCAUACCGCGUGGGUGAAGAAGGCCUUCGGGUUGUAAAGCCCUUUUGUUGGGAAAGAAAAGCAGCAGGUUAAUACCCCGCUGUUCUGACGGUACCCAAAGAAUAAGCACCGGCUAACUUCGUG
rnacentral:rRNA from 1 species